rnacentral:rRNA from 1 species
GACGAACGCUGGCGGCGUGCUUAACACAUGCAAGUCGAACGGAAAGGCCCUGCUUGCAGGGUACUCGAGUGGCGAACGGGUGAGUAACACGUGGGUGAUCUGCCCUGCACUUCGGGAUAAGCCUGGGAAACUGGGUCUAAUACCGGAUAGGAGCCAUUUUUAGUGUGAUGGUUGGAAAGUUUUUUCGGUGUAGGAUGAGCUCGCGGCCUAUCAGCUUGUUGGUGGGGUAAUGGCCUACCAAGGCGGCGACGGGUAGCCGGCCUGAGAGGGUGGACGGCCACAUUGGGACUGAGAUACGGCACAGACUCCUACGGGAGGCAGCAGUGGGGAAUAUUGCACAAUGGGCGCAAGCCUGAUGCAGCGACGCCGCGUGGGGGAUGACGGCCUUCGGGUUGUAAACUCCUUUCGCUAGGGACGAAGCUUUUUGUGGCGGUACCUAGAUAAGAAGCACCGGCUAACUACGUG